UGAGAACAAAGCUUGAUAUCUGCAUAACAAAGAAAGUCGCUUUGUGUCAAAAUUAAUCAGCAAAGGACAAAAUUGGCAGUUUAAUAGCAGACUGAAAGUUACCACAAUUUCAUUUGUGGCUUUAAAAACGUGCGUCACAUGCAAAUGAUGCCGAACUCACUCACUGAUUCCAAAACCGGUUCAAACUUAAAACUUGCUGCAAGAAAUCCAUAGAAAUUUUUUUCUGUGGGAAUUUAGCGACAACUGUGAGAGAACCAACGCUAUCUUGGGUUGCUUAAAAAAGGCGAUAUCGUUAUGACAUCAUGUGGUAUCAUGUACGAAAUAUCGAGAUUAUAUCAGUUCUAAAUUUCCUGAGCAAAUUUUAGCUACAUUCGAAAGAUUAUGGCGUCGGGAAACUGAAAUUUUUACAUCUGCGUAAGCGUUACGUAAUGAAAAAAAUACUCAGGCACGUUCUUGGACCAAAAGCUAGUUUAGCAAUAUCAAGUAAAAUACGACGGCAGAUGUCAUUGAAUCUUAAAAAGGCCUCAUAAGGCGUUUUCAGAACUGCCUUAUCUUAUGGUUGGAGCUUUUUACGUUGGCUUGUGUAGAAGUGUUUAUGGAAAUUUAUGUUGAGGACACCGUGGGAACAUGUAAGCUAGCUUGUGAAGAAGAAGAAGAAGAAGAAGGAAAAUAAAAACUACGUGAAGGAAUACUGCCAAAGAAAGAAAAACAAAUGGUAAAUCUGGCACUCAGGUACACUUCCCCUCUCCUAAAAUCCACCCUACUUUAUUUCAUCUGUCUGAAAUGGAGCACCGUUUCCACAAUGUCACGCCAAGGACCGCGUGACUAGCGUGAUUUCCUGACAAAGUAACACGAGCUCAACAAAAAAACGGGAUACAUUUAGCCGAAAAGACUAAUCAAACUCAAUGCGUGAUCGACGAGAGGUCUUUUCUUCAAAAUUAAGGGUUAAAUGAGAGAUAAAAUCUAGCACCGACAACAAUAGUUAAAAGAAAGAACAAAACAAUAUCCUUUAGAAAAAUAAGACUGUUUUCAAAUUUCGGAAUUUAGCCGGUAAAAAACAAGUGUCUUGGCAAGUUCACGAACUUGGAAGGGUUUGUCUUCCUGUCUCGCUAAGGAAUUAAAUUUACCAGUGAUGAACACGUUUCCUAAUAGAUAACUCGAGAAGAAGCAACUGACUUCCCUUCUAAAAUGAAAUCUUUUACGCUGUACUUCAUAUAAUGCGAAAACUGUAAUUUCAAGAAAUUCCGACGCCGUAAAACGACCUGAUUGUGUCUUGCAAGAUGAGGUGUCACGUAUAUUCUCAUUUGGAAGCAUCAGCUGAAGGGUUUUUUCCGCUUUCAUAUCCACAAACAAAAUACUUUGAAUUCUUCCAUGCGAGUUGUUUAUGUAAAUUGCGUUUUUCUAAUGUUUUUUUUUUGUCUCACGAGAAAGCUUUCAGCAGUUCUAAGUAGAACGUAUUGUUGUGGGAACUGCUUGGAAAUUAUUUAUCAUGUAGCCGUGAAAAAUUGCUCGUGUACAUGAAUGUAAAAAGUGCGGUCAUGUUACGGUAGGCGUGGUUGUGGUCGAAGCCAGAGCCAUAAAUAAAUCAGAAUUUCCUGUGGUAA